rnacentral:rRNA from 1 species
UUGGAGCGGUUAGUGGCGGACUGGUGAGUAACACGUGAGCAACCUGCCUAUCAGAGGGGAAUAACAGUGAGAAAUCAUUGCUAAUACCGCAUAUGCCAUAAAUAUCACAUGAUGAAAGUGGGAAAGGAGUAAUCCGCUGAUAGAUGGGCUCGCGUCUGAUUAGAUAGUUGGUGGGGUAACGGCCUACCAAGUCGACGAUCAGUAGCCGGACUGAGAGGUUGAACGGCCACAUUGGGACUGAGAUACGGCCCAGACUCC